rnacentral:rRNA from 1 species
AUGGAUAAAUCAUAUCCAUCCAAAACACCUAUGAUCGUCAGAUCCCUUGAUAUGAACAAGGAUCCUUUUAGACCAAGGGAUGAUAACAAGGAGGUAUUGGGACCUGAGUUUCCAUACCUUAGUGCCAUAGGAGCACUAAUGUACCUUGCAAAUUGUACUAGACCAGACAUUGCCUUUGCGGUAAAUUUACUGGCUCGACAUAGUGCAGCUCCAACAAAACGUAAUUGGACAGGAGUAAAGAAUAUCUUCAGAUAUUUACAAGGUACUAAAGAUCUUGGUUUAUUCUAUCGGAAAAAUCAAGAUAUGACCCUGAUUGGUUAUUGUGACGCUGGAUAUCUUUCUGAUCCCCAUAAUGCCAAGUCACAAAUAGGGUUUGUAUUUUUAUAUGGUGGAACCGCUAUUUCAUGGAAUUCAACAAAACAGACUUUAGUAGCUACCUCCACUAAUCACUCUGAAAUAAUUGCAUUAUUCGAAGCCUCACGAGAAUGUGUAUGGCUCCGCAGAGUAAUAAAUCAUAUUCAGACAUCAUGCGGUAUUGGUUCAUUACAAUCACCAACCAUUAUCUAUGAAGAUAAUGCUGCAUGUAUUGCUCAAAUGCAUAUGGGAUAUAUUAAAAGUAAUAUCACAAAACAUAUCUCUCCAAAACUAUUUUUUCCUCAUGAAUUACAGAAAGAUGGAGAGAUUGAUAUAUUGCAAAUAAAAUCUUGUGACAAUCUUGCGGAUUUGUUCACUAAGUCUUUACCAGGAGCAGCAUUUCAAAAAUGCAUUCAUGGUAUUGGUAUGAGACGACUACGAAAUUUGUAA